rnacentral:misc_RNA from 1 species
UGAAGACUCCAACUCUGUGGUAUAGAACUAUCGGCACACCCUGUAGAUAUUAUUAUAUCACGAGUUGCUUCCCAUGAAAUUGUACGCGCUGCUGAACUUUGCUGGUAAUGUUUUAUUUUAUGGCAACAUGAUCUCAAAAGAUGUCGACAAAAGGUGAGUGCAGCCUUUGAUGAUGGCGGAUUUUAUAGGCAGUAGUCAUAGACAUGAAGAAGGAGAUCUGUGCCCUCUCAUGGUCUGUCCUGGUAUCUUCCAGCGUAUGGAAGCUGUCUCUUUGGAAAACAACUUCUCACAAGCUUGUCAAGUGAUGGAGUACCUUCUUGAUCUUCAUGAUAGGUACAAAGAUGCUAAAGACAGACAGGCUGGUUUGGACACGGAAGCAGACACCAUUUCAUUUUCAGAUUUCGAAGGUUGUAAGCAGGAAGGUGGUGAAAGCAGGACAAUUAAACCAAUAGAAUUUGACGAACCUGAGGAUUUGCCAACUUCUCCUACAGCAUCAGAUCUCUUCAAGGAAAACACCACCAGGAAAAGAAAUUGGUCAUUCUGUGGAAACCUCAUGUCCUGUUUGUGGGAAAAUGUUUUUUAACACAAAGACCUUAAAAUUCCAUAAACAUAUCUGCUUUCCAAAACUACUAAAAUUGAAACCAAGAUGGAGAAAAUUCAAUAAUCAUCAUUGUCAUAGGUUGCACAUCAAUCCCUUGAGAAACUUGCAUCAGAAUGAAAUCAAGAAGCAUUUUUUGGGGAAUGGCUGUACUUGUGGACAAUACUUCCAUUGGAAAAGCCUUUAUUUUCAGCACAAAAAAGUCUGCAAGACACAGAAAGAAUCAGUCAGUUUAAAGAAGAUAAGAAAACUGAAAAGCCAUCAAAAUCAUAAAAAAGAACAGGAAAAGAAAACAAUAGAUACUGAAUCAACAGCUUUACUAAAAGACAACAGCAUGGAGGCAAAACUACGUGAGAAUCUUAUCAAGGAAGGAAUUUCACUUUCAAAGGAGACCCAAGAACUUAAUGAUGUGCACAAUUUAUCAUCCGAGAAUACUGAUCACAGAGUUGCAAAGGGUAAUCACACUUCAAUUCUUGAGAAAAAUGAUAUUGUGCCUUUGAAUUUUAAAAUAAAAAAGGAAAGUUUGGAAAAUGAAGGUAAUAUUCAAGAAAAAGAGCAUCCUAAAGAUUGUCAAAGUAACAUGUCAACCAUGGAAAAUAUUGAAAAUCUUGCAGCAGCAAUAUCCAAAUCUGGAGAAGACCACACUAAAAUCAAAAGUAUGGCCAUUUCUGAAAACUAUGCAGAAGAGAAUAGCACCAAAGUGAAGGAAGAGCGAUGUUCCUUGCAAGAUGUUAUGGAAUUGCAAAAUAUAUCAGAGGGAAAGAAUAUGGUUUCACAGGAAAAAGAUAAAAAUUCAGAACAUGAGACCUUCUACAUGGAGGAUGAGGUAGCAGUUGUCGAUUUGUCAAAAAUGAAUGUAGCCAUGAAUUGCUCUAGUUUGCAGGGAGAAACGUUGGCUCCUAUCAUGUCUAGCAAUGUAAGACAAGAAAAUCAGCUUCAUCCAUUAAGGACUGAAGAAAGUGAAAGUCAAAAAGAAGAACAAAAGGUUUUGAAUCUCAGCAAUAAACCAGAUUACAGAGAGGAGAGUCUUGAAAUGCAGAGGCAUUAUGAGCAAAGAUAUGGAGACAAUUUUGAAAUGUUUUCACAGUGCCCUAAUUGUUUGGGCUCGUACAAGUCAUCACAGGACCUCCUUCAGCAUAUCCAGAACUCUCAGUGUAGAUUUGUAUUUGAUUUAGCUAAUGCAAAAGGCACACAGCACAGAGUAUGUCGAAUAUGCAAUAUAACUUUGAAAAACUUUUACUCUUUCAUCCAGCAUUUGUAUGAGAGACAUGGAAUUCAGGGUAUUUACAAUUUGAAACAGAGUUCACAAGUGAAACCAUGCAAGAUAUGUGGUCAGAAGUUCCUUUCUGAAGCCUAUCUUCGAGAACAUGUUCAAGGUAAGCACAGCAGUGUAAGGCGGUAUGCUUGCACUUGUGGAAAGACCUUCAAAUGGAGGAGCUCUUUCAGUGGACACAGACGGAACUGUACUGGAACAAUAUCGUGCAUCAACAAACCAUAUCCAACCACCAUGUGUAGGUACACCAGGAAGCGACAUGGGCUGAACCACAGUGGUAGUCUGGCAUCAAACAGUGGUAACAUGGUACCACCACCUAUAGUGGCUAAACAAGAGAGAGAACAGCCAUUGCAACCAAAGCAAUUCUCCAAUGACAAUGGCACUGGAAAGAUUCCUGGUGUUCAUACCAUACUGAAUGACUUAAAAGUCAGGUACCCCAAACCUUCUGCUGCUGACACAGUCUCACAUUUCAAAACAAAAGAACCUUCCCCUUUGCCCCCCAGAGCGCAUGCAGAUUUAACUGUACAGAAAAUGAACAAUAAGCCUUUAUCUAAUUCCCUAAAGACAGAUCUCAACUCGCCAGCGACCCAAAAAAUAAUCGAAAGCUUGAAACAGCGAGCCAAUGUGAAAUGGCCAGCUAAUAAGAAUAGUCCAUCAAGCAGUUUAAAACCUGAGCCUAAGACGAUUAACCAGCACACUCCACAGCCGGUGACAACAGCAAAUGAUCCAUCCAAACCUAUGGCAGUUUCCUCAGCAGCAACUAAUUUCUCUAAAAGUCAUCAUUCAUUAAAUUCUACACAAACUGAGAACAAUGCCUUUAUGCACACUUCUGGCAAUCCGUAUGGUAUGGUUUUCCCUGUAGGAGAUUCGAUGGCCAAUUUGAGUCAGUAUAUACCAUAUCAGAAUUUCGGAUUUAACGCUCUCAACAUGCAACAGCUGUAUCAUCAAAUGUCGGCGUCACUGUCCAAGAUAUUUUCCUCGGAGAAUAUUAAGGGUGACACCAAUGAAAAAGGCUUGAACAGGAAUGUAGAAAAACCAUCGCGUGAAAACUUUCCGGGACAGUAUCUAAAUAAAGCUCCGAACAAGCCACGUGACAUCGAGUUCUUAGGCAGCUCACAGAAAAAGCCCUCUCCAUCCUCAGCAGCCCAUACUGAGGGGCCUCUCUUCUGUCCCGCGUGCAAGAUGUCUUUCUCGGACAAGAUGUCCUUGGAAAUGCAUGUCUUAAAAUGCAAGAAUCGGUCCAUGGCCGUGUACACGUGCUCUAUUUGUGGGAUGAAAUUGCGCGGGAAGGCGUCGCUACGGGAACACACACUAGGGAAACAUAGUGCUACGCGCUACUCGUGCUCGUGUGGAAUGAAGUUCAAGUGGCGGAGUUCGCUGGGAUCGCACCAGAAACAUUGCGACCAAUAUCUGAAACACUUUUAGUCGUGCUGCUGUUAGAAUUUUUCGAUAAUUAUUAGUGCCAUACAUGUAUCAGUAGAGUUUAUUUUUUAGUUUUCAUUGUAUUUCCGUCUGUGUUGAUGUUAAUUUAAUUCAAUAAAAAUUUAGAAGUUUUUACAAA